rnacentral:rRNA from 1 species
UACGGAGGGUGCAAGCGUUAUCCGGAUUCACUGGGUUUAAAGGGUGCGUAGGCGGGCAGGUAAGUCAGUGGUGAAAUCCUAGAGCUUAACUCUAGAACUGCCAUUAAUACUAUCUGUCUUGAAUAUUGUGGAGGUAAGCGGAAUAUGUCAUGUAGCGGUGAAAUGCUUAGAUAUCGUCAAGAACACCUAUAGCGAAGGCAGCUUACUAGGCUGUAACUGACGCUGAGGCACGAAAGUGUGGGGAUCAAACAGG